rnacentral:tRNA from 1 species
CAAGGAGUAGUUUAUUUAAAAAUAUUAAUUUUGGAGAUUAAAGAGGGGAAGUUUUCUUUUCCUUGA